CCUACGGGAGGCAGCAGUGGGGAAUAUUGCGCAAUGGGCGAAAGUCUGACGCAGCGACGCCGCGUGAGGGAUGAAGGUCUUCGGAUCGUAAACCUCUGUCAGCAGGGAAGAACGGUCACUGUGCUAAUCAGCAGUGAAUUGACGGUACCUGCAAAGGCAGCACCGGCUAACUCCGGGCCAGCAGCCGCGGUAAUACGGCGGGUGCGAGCGUUAAUUGGAAUUACUGGGCGGAAGGCGCUCGUAGGCGGUAGGUCAAGUAAAGGGUGAAAUCCCCGCGCUCAACGGGGGAACUGCCUUUGAAACUGGCAAACUGGAGUGUGUGAGAGGUGAGUGGAAUUCGAGGUGUAGGAGUGAAAUCCGUAGAUAUC
rnacentral:rRNA from 1 species